rnacentral:ncRNA from 1 species
UAAAAAUCAAUGACGAGAAAGAGUAGGAAAAGAAACUUGUUCCCCAGAGAGUCGACGCUUGGUGAAAGUCGAUGGACAAUUCUUUCUGAAAAUCAUCUCCGAGAUGCGAAGCUGACCUAAGGGUAAGCUUUGACGGAUUUCCACCGUUACAAGGAGCGCGUAUGAAUGUACGUUGACUGAGAGCCGGAUUGUUUCAUUUUAUGAAGCAAACGGAAUAUGGGUGGUAUCGCGAGCACAAACUCGUCCCUGUU